UUUCCGUAGGUGAACCUGCGGAAGGAUCAUUAUUGUAUAACCGAGGUGCGAGGGUUGUCGCUGACCCGAAAGGUCGUGCACGCCCGAGUGCCCUCACACACAUCCAUCUCACCCCUAUGUGCACCACCGCGUGGGUCCCCCUUUGGCUUGUUCGGAGGGGGGCUUACGUUUUCACACAAACUUUGUAUGCAGUGUAGAAUGUGCUUUUUGUUUUUGCGAUCACGCAAUCAAUACAACUUUCAACAACGGAUCUCUUGGCUCAC
rnacentral:misc_RNA from 1 species